UAACUUCCUGUUUUUCAGUCUGGCUGAGCACUUAGUUUGUGAGUCAAAAGUGGCCUUGCUUUACAAACCUUCAUUAUUAAAGUACAUAAAACAAUAUAAUCAGAAAAUAAGCACUAAGAAUAUAUUAAUUACAUGACAGCUUCCAGAACAACAGCACCUCUGAGUGUGUGUGUUUACCUCCCAGACUAACUCCACCCUGACAUCAAGAAGAUGGAGGAAAAGGAUGGAGCAGAAUCUGCAGCAUCCAGCUGUGUGUCUGUGAGGAGUGACUGGUCCAAAGGAGGAGUUCCAGACUUCAGUAAUGAACCUGCAGCAACAAUAGCUUCUGCACAGUGUGGAGAAAGAUCCAGAAGCAGAGCUGGACUGCAGACAGCCAGUCAGAGCAGCUGUGUACAAACAGAUGUUGGUCUGCAGGAGGUUUUAGAUGAACAUAAGAUCAGUCUGAGGAGGAG